UUCUUUUUUUGACAGAAUUUCUGUUAUGUCACAAUGUGUCUUCCAUCAUCAAGUUCUAAAGUGACCAGUUGACAUAUAAGAAAAGUACAGGAGGAGUCACCCAUGAAUUCUACCCACAUCCAUAUUGGGGGCUAAUUAGGGUAAUGGGACAUUGACAAAGACUCCUGCAGCGGACCUGACAUCCUGCGAACCAGUGCAAUAUCCAUGAAAUUGGAAAUCCACAUUUGAAAGAAACACAGAGAGGUAAGAGAAUCUGAUAAUUGGGCUAACCUAAGAUGUUGUAGGCAGCAAAGACAAAGAC
rnacentral:lncRNA from 1 species